AAAACAUCUUUUCUUGUUAGUUUUUGAAGUAUGGCCUGCCCGCUGACAUUUGGUGUUGAAGGGCCGCGGUAUUUUGACCGUGCAAAGGUAGCAUAAUCAUUAGUUCUUUAAUUGUGAUCUGGAAUGAAUGGCUUGACGAGGCACGGGCUGUCUUAGUGUUGAAUGUUUUAUUGAAUUUGGUCUUUGAGUUAAAAUUCUUAGAUGUUUUUGUGGGACGAGAAGACCCUAUAGAGUUUGACAUUUGGUUUAUUUGCUUAUUUGUUGUUUGUUUGUUUUUGGUGAGUGGGCUUUUUGUUUUGUUGGGGUGAUGGGAGGAAUGUGUUUAACUCCUCUUGGUUUUGGUUAUAUUGAUUUAUAGUUAUUUGAUCCAUUUAUUUUGAUUGUAAGAUUAAAUUACCUUAGGGAUAACAGCGU
rnacentral:rRNA from 1 species